AUGUAUAUUGUAAAUGGACAGUGUCAAACUUUUUACCUUUUCUCCCUAGACUUUGUCAUAAGCCUCUUAUAUUACACAGUCCCAACGCACAAUGUGGACGGCCUGCCGACCAUAGGCUCCGCGCGCUGGCAUCUCAGCCCCGCCUCUGGCCCCCACCACCUGCCCGGCGCCCCGCCCCUUCCGGCCCCGCCCUCGGUCUCCUGGCAACGGCCCCACCUCCUGCCUAUGCCCCGCCCCUUCCGGCCCCGCCGCCUGGCGCCCUCCGCGGCCUCUACGCCUGGCUGCACGGGCUCCCGCUCAGCCGCCCCAAGCGCCACCUGGCCCGGGACUUCAGCGACGGCGGAAAGUCUUUCACAAGUUACGUUUGUGUAUCUCCGAGGUGGAUAUCCAAAAGGUGGUGGCCAACACACCCGGGGCCAUCGAGCCCAUCUUGUGUGCACUGAGGGAAAAGGUGGAGGACCGCACUGCUCAGGAGGACCCACCCGGCGCAGACUCAGGACCCAGCUGGAGGGCCCUGGGAACACGCAGACCCCAGGGUGCAGCAGCUGCUGGAGGAGAAGGAGCAGGCUCUGGCUCUCCUGCAGGAGUCAGUCAAGACAUGUGUGUUUUCCUGAAGAUUUUGCAGAUGAAGGUGGUCAGGUUGGAGCAGCUGGUAAAGCUGAAGGACCAGUGGAUUGGAGUGCUGUUGAGACCCACGGACAAGCCCCAGUGACAGAGAGGCCACAGAGAAGGCUCCUCCCAGAGGGCUCCUGGGGGAUUCGAAGGAAUGCUCCCUCCCCAAGUCGACUAGACCCUGAACUUGAACCCACAUGGGACUCCCCAGACCAGGGCUCUUCCAGAUGUGGCCGCCCGCAGUCCAGUAGGCUCAGAGCCGGGAUGUCUGUGUACAAAGCCCUCUGGAGCCCUCAGCAUGUGGAUAUUUGCAAGUCUGGAGCCCAGGGCCCCUCGGGCUGCACGUCCCAGGUUCCUGGGGUGUCGCCCAAGGUUCUUGCCUCCGGAGCCUGGUUUGGGCAUGAAGACUUAGCUCUGGUUCCCUUGAGCCCCGAGAUGUCUUGUCAUCAGCAUGAACAAGGAAACACAUCUGUGAACACAGAAAGUGUAGUUUGCGAGUGUAGCGUUCCUCCUGGUGUCCGAGGGCCCCAGGCUGGCUGCCAGCAUCGUGCGUCUGCCACCCUGAAGUCGUGCGGAGGAUUCUGUAGAAACAGCUCACUGGGAGGUUGCGUCCCCCUAGUCUGUCCACUUUCUGUGCUGAAGGGAGCCCAUGAAGAUGGGGAGGCUGUGUGCGUGCUGGCUACCAUCCCUGGGUGGUUCUGGGAGCCUCGCAGCUGUCCCCCGUGAUGGACUGGUCACUCCGCUUUGCUCGGGAGAGUUGGGGUCAGGGUGGAGCUGGGCCUUGAUCCAGUGUGGCUGCAGCCUCCUCACCACGGAUGGUCCCCACCCAGCCCACACGGGGUACGUGGCCUUGGGAUGGGGACUUCAGGGUGCCUUGAUGUGGCCAGGGUGCCCCAGAUGGUGAGGUUGGCUGGAGGGGACAGGCGAGGGGUGUGUUCUGCUGGCUUCUGUGUCCUAGCAUCCAGCCUGCCUUGCUUUUGCACCCAGAGUGGGGGGCUGGGAACAGCCCAGACUUUUAUUCUCUUCCUCCACCUGCUGCCCACCCCCAGGCUCCUGGGCCAAGAGCCUGGCCCCCUACAGGGUCUCAGGAAGCAGUGUCUCCUCCAGCCCUGAGUCAGGGCCCGCAACACAGGUCAGGGCUGCGAGACUCAGAGGACAGGUCCGAGGCCCUCCUUGAGAGUUGGGUUUUAAGCUCCAUAGGAGCAUGACUGAGGCAGAUUUGCUCCAUGAGCCAGGAAGCAUGUUGAGACUCAUGGGUUAGGAAGGCCCCCUGAUGGUGAUAGCCAGCUUAGCCCGUGCCCAGGCACCCAGUGGGUAGGGGCUGCAUCCAGGAGGGAGCUGUUCCCAGGAGGGGAGCCCUCAGUUGCCUUCUGGGUGGGCUGGGCGGGGCUGUCUCAGAGGUCUCCCCUCUGCACAGCUGCCCCUGCAGAACGAGGAGCCGCAGGAUCUGCGAGGGGUCCAGGCCUCGGUGGGGGCGUCCAGGCCCUGUCGGUUGUGGGAAUCUGGGCUACAUGCAGCACCUGCUGGUUCCUCGUGUCAAGAGCGGAAAGAUCCUCCCAGAGACAACACGGCCCAGAGCUCACCUCAGCUUGGCAGCUGAGGGAAUUACAGGAAAACCUGGCGGAGGGUCCAGCCCAGAGCCUGAGGCUGCUUCAGACCCCAUACCUGGCUGCCUGCCGCCAGGCUCCACAAGCCAGGAUGGGUGGCUACCACCGCUGCCUUGGUG
rnacentral:lncRNA from 1 species